AUUCUUCCUCCAUUACCUCACUGCCUCCGGUGGCUGCUGGGAUACCGGAGGACUCGGGUCCCGGCUCGACUCAGUCCUCCAGCCGCCCGGGGAAUACCUCUAGUUCUUCCCGGCCGCCGCCGCCGCCGCCGCCCCGCCGCUUCCUCCUCCGCCUGCCGGCCUCCUUCGCCCCGUCCCGUCCGCGCAGCGCGUCCGGCCCGCCCGCAGGCCAGCUUCUCUCGGGAGCCCCCACCCAGGCGCAUGGCUCCAUGAAGCAAGAGGAGGAGGCAGAGCGCGAGAGGUCCCGUCCGCCCCAGCCGCGUCUGGGCCAGGAUAAAAGCAAAACCAUAUUCCUGCUGCUGUCAGUUAUGAUGCACUGAGAAAACUUCAGAGACCUAAACUUUUUCCAGAGAAGAGAAGCUUUACUGGUGUUCCAGCCCUAAGAAACCUUUGUUCAAGAAAACGGCAGAUGCUCUGUUGAAUCCACUGGAGAUUGUUCUGAUACUAAGGACAAGUAUCAACCAUCUUUCCUGUGAAAAAUUCCCUCUCGUACUUUAGUUCUGUGGAUCCAAAAUUUAUAGCAUUCUUCUACCACCACAGGGGCUCAUAUGACAUUAACAGACAAGACACUUUUCAGAAAGACAG
rnacentral:lncRNA from 1 species